UCAUUCCAAUAUCGUUUUAUGGAUGGGAGCAGUUUGGCCAUUCAUUAGAAUUUCAGCUGUUAAAACUGUUUAGUGAAUCAUUCUGUGUCGUGGUGUUAACCUGGAACAUGAUGUGCAUCACUGGUGGGCACAGCUAACAUCUAAUUAGAUUCUCCAUUAGCGGAUUAACUUUUUGGCUAACUUUGAAAGCCAUUAGUAGACCAGUUGCGCUAACCUUAAGUCAGCAAUUUUUUUUUUUUUUUUGUAAUGUUUCACAGUCAAAAAAUGCGUGUAUACAUAUUUGUUCCUCUUGGAACUUGGACAGUAAUCCAGUAAGCAAAACUAACACAUUGCAUGAAAGCAGUUUGAUUAAAAUUUACA